rnacentral:rRNA from 1 species
AUUGAACGCUGGCGGCAUGCCUAACACAUGCAAGUCGAGCGAGCGGCGGACUGGUGAGUACUUUAUUGACAUCUGCCCGAUCUAGCGGUAUAACUACUGGAACCGUUGGCUAAUACCGCAUACUGUCGGAUGACCCCAUAUGGGAUUAGCUAGUCGGUGGGGUAAAGGCUCACCUAGGCGACGAUCGCUAGCUGGUCUGAGAGGCUGAUCAGCCACACUGGGACUGAGACACGGCCCAGACUCCUACGGGAGGCAGCAGUGGGGAAUAUUGCACAAUGGGCGCAAGCCUGAUGCAGCCAUGCCGCGUGUAUGAAGAAGGCCUUAGGGUUGUAAAGUACUUUCAGCGGGGAGGCGUUACCCGCAGAAGAAGCACCGGCUAACUCCGUGCCAGCAGCCGCGGUAAUAC